UACGUAGGGGGCAAGCGUUGUCCGGAUUUAUUGGGCGUAAAGAGCUCGUAGGUGGCUUGUUGCGUCUGCCGUGAAAGCCCGUGGCUUAACUACGGGUCUGCGGUGGAUACGGGCAGGCUAGAGGCUGGUAGGGGCGAGCGGAAUUCCUGGUGUAGCGGUGAAAUGCGCAGAUAUCAGGAGGAACACCGGUGGCGAAGGCGGCUUGCUGGGCCAGUUCUGACGCUGAGGAGCGAAAGCGUGGGGAGCGAACAGG
rnacentral:rRNA from 1 species